AGAAUUUAGCAGAGAUGCUUUAGUGCCUUCGGGAACUCUGAGACAGGUGCUGCAUGGCUGUCGUCAGCUCGUGUUGUGAAAUGUUGGGUUAAGUCCCGCAACGAGCGCAACCCUUAUCCUUUGUUGCCAGCACGUAAUGGUGGGAACUCAAAGGAGACUGCCGGUGAUAAACCGGAGGAAGGUGGGGAUGACGUCAAGUCAUCAUGGCCCUUACGAGUAGGGCUACACACGUGCUACAAUGGCGCAUACAAAGAGAAGCGACCUCGCGAGAGCAAGCGGACCUCAUAAAGUGCGUCGUAGUCCGGAUUGGAGUCUGCAACUCGACUCCAUGAAGUCCGAAUCGCUAGUAAUCGUAAAUCAGAAUGUUACGGUGAAUACGUUCCCGGGCCUUGUACACACCGCCCGUCACACCAUGGGAGUGGGUUGCAAAAGAAGUAGAUAGCUUAACCUUCGGGAGGGCGUUUACCACUUUGUGAUUCAUGACUGGGGUGAAGUCGUAACAAGGUAAGCGUAGUGCU
rnacentral:rRNA from 1 species